rnacentral:rRNA from 1 species
UAAGGAAUAUUGGGCAAUGGACGAAAGUCUGACCCAGCCAUGCCGCGUGAAGGAUGAAGGUCCUCUGGAUUGUAAACUUCUUUUUUCUGGGGAGAAAUGCAUCUUUUCUAAGGUGUUUGACGGUACCAGAAGAAUAAGCACCGGCUAACUCCGUGCCAGCAGCCGCGGUAAUACGGAGGGUGCAAGCGUUAUCCGGAUUCACUGGGUUUAAAGGGUGCGUAGGUGGGCAUGUAAGUCAGAGGUGAAAUCCCCGAGCUUAACUUGGGAACUGCCUUUGAUACUAUAUGUCUUGAAUGUUGUGGAGGUAAGCGGAAUAUGUCAUGUAGCGGUGAAAUGCUUAGAUAUGACAUAGAACACCGAUUGCGAAGGCAGCUUGCUACACAAAUAUUGACACUGAGGC